UUUUUUGUAUUUGUAACGGACCGUUUCUCUCACAAAGGGAUAAAUCCGUUUAGGCGAUAAUCCCCUUUCCCAUAGACCAGCAGCUAUUGCAAUCACCAACCUCCCAAACUCCAAACUGUACGAAUCCCCAACUCACGAACAAGAAAUACACGAACUCUGGAAGCAGCCGAACAGGAAAAGCAAUACGAACGGCUUACACUCCUGGCAGUCAGCACACAAUCCAAU